rnacentral:rRNA from 1 species
UACGAAGGUGGCAAGCGUUGUUCGGAUUUACUGGGCGUAAAGGGCGCGUAGGCGGCCUUCUAAGUCGAACGUGAAAUCCCCGGGCUCAACCCGGGAACUGCGUCCGAUACUGGAAGGCUUGAAUCCGGGAGAGGGAUGCGGAAUUCCAGGUGUAGCGGUGAAAUGCGUAGAUAUCUGGAGGAACACCGGUGGCGAAGGCGGCAUCCUGGACCGGCAUUGACGCUGAGGCGCGAAAGCCAGGGGAGCAAACGGG